AGAUGACCGGACGGUUGCGACGGGCGCAAGUCCGGCGAGGAAAGUCCGAACACCACAGGACAGGAUGCCGGCUAACUACCGGUGGAGGCGACUCCAAGGAAAGUGCAACAGAAAUAAACCGCCGAGACAUCGGCAAGGGUGGAAAGGUGAGGUAAGAGCUCACACGGCCGCGCGGUAACGCGGGGCGCUAUGUAAACCCCAUCCGGUGCAAGAUCGAGGGGGCACAGAUCGUCCGUCUUCCCCUCCACAUCGCUCGAACCGUACGGUAACGUACGGUCCAGACAGAUAACCGUCCCAGACAGAAUUCGGCUUACAGGUCAUUCU
rnacentral:RNase_P_RNA from 1 species